rnacentral:rRNA from 1 species
ACGUAGGGAGCGAGCGUUGUCCGGAAUUACUGGGUGUAAAGGGAGCGUAGGCGGGAAGGCAAGUUGGAUGUGAAAACUGUGGGCUCAACCUACAGACUGCAUUCAAAACUGUUUUUCUUGAGUGAAGUAGAGGCAAGCGGAAUUCCUAGUGUAGCGGUGAAAUGCGUAGAUAUUAGGAGGAACACCAGUGGCGAAGGCGGCUUGCUGGGCUUUUACUGACGCUGAGGCUCGAAAGUGUGGGGAGCAAACAG